UACGGAGGAUGCAAGCGUUAUCCGGAAUUAUUGGGCGUAAAGCGUCCGCAGGUGGCACUUCAAGUCUGCUGUCAAAGACCGGGGCUUAACCCUGGAGAGGCAGUGGAAACUGAAGCGCUAGAGUGUCGUAGGGGUAGAGGGAAUUCCUGGUGUAGCGGUGAAAUGCGUAGAGAUCGGGAGGAACAUCUGUGGCGAAGGCGGCCAUCUGGACCAGCACUGACACUGAGGCACGAAAGCGUGGGGAGCAAACAGG
rnacentral:rRNA from 1 species